AUAAUUUAAAGAGUCUACCUGAUUUCAUCCAUGACAAUUAAACAUUUGAUAAUAACGAGAGGCUUCAAGUCACACAAGCUUUUCAAUGACUUCACACAAGAUCAUACAAUAGAUGAAGAAUCGUAGUGUAAACACCGCCGGGACCACUUCAAAUUUGGCGCUUGAAUUGGAGAGAGAGAUGUGGACAUUUUGACAAUUACAAUUACAAUGGCUUAUAACUUAGUUUUACAUGUUCAUGCUUCAUUAUAUUUCACUUGUUUUAUUUUGUAUUAGAAUAGUGUAAUAUGAGAGAAGCUGGAUUAAUUGGAAAUAUAAUUUGUAGGUUUGUGGGUAACGAGUCCACGCUGACAUAGGAGAGUGAGCGGACGUCAGACACACAGAGGGGUGGUGUUUGAAGGGCGUGCGUGUGCAGCUGCCUUAUUUAACCCGGAUUUUCUCUCAAGACGGUGACACGUGCCAGUGGAAGCUUAAUGGCUGCCGGAAGGUGGUCGUGAGGGCCAGAAACACUUAUAAUAUUGACAAAUGACCCACCUGCUGCUUGGCCAGCUGGCGGACUGGUCACAGACGCCAUGGUGCAAUAGGAGACUACCCCAUCCCCUGCCUCCCACCCUGCUCCACCCAGACACCAUGGCCCGGCAGCGACGCCAUUCCACUUGCUACAUGACGCUGGCUGACGCACUCCUGACGUGGCAGCGACAGGAGGCGGAGGGCAGGAGCAAGAGUCAGAUGGUGAAGGAAGGCGUGACGGAAGAGGUGGUGGCUGUGGAGGGUGUUCGUACUGGGUACCUCGGCAAGGUCUAGUGUGCAGGUUUGCAGUAAACCUCCCCGAAGGUUCCAGAGCUGGUCAGCAGGUGCCCAGUUCAGGCUGUCACAAGACUGUGUGAUGGUGGACCUUCCACUGAUACUCACUGAAAACAGCUGUGCACUGCCACUCACAGGAAAUGACUACCCCAUCCCCUGCCUCCCUGCCCUGCUCCACCCAGAUGCCAUGGCCCGGCAGCAACACCAUUCCACCUGCUACACGACGCUGGCUGACGCACUCCUGACGUGGCAGUGACAGGAGGCGGAGGGCAGGAGCAAGAGUCGGAUGGUGAAGAAAGGCGUGAUGGCGGAGGUGGUGGCUGUGGAGGGUGUUCAUGCAGGGUACCUCGGCAGGGUCUAGGGCCUGAUGUGAAGGUGUCUGCAGCCAGUGUUUGGUGUCCUCUGUGCCUGCCUGGUGGUGCCUCAUUGCAGGGCCUGAUGUGAAGGUGUCUGCAGCCAGUGGUGGUGCCUCAUUGCAGGGCUGAUGUGAAGGUGUCUGCAGCCAGUGGUGGGUGUCCUCUGUGCCUGGUGGUGCCUCAUUGCAGGGCUGAUGUGAAGGUGUCUGCAGCCAGUGGUGGUGCCUCAUUGCAGGGCUGAUGUGAAGGUGUCUGCAGCCAGUGGUGGUGCCUCAUUGCAGGGCUGAUGUGAAGGUGUCUGCAGCCAGUGGUGGGUGUCCUCUGUGCCUGGUGGUGCCUCAUUGCAGGGCUGAUGUGAAGGUGUCUGCAGCCAGUGUUUGGUGUCCUCUGUGCCUGGUGGUGGUGCCUCAUUGCAGGGCUGAUGUGAAGGUGUCUGCAGCCAGUGGUGGGUGUCCUCUCUUCCUGGUGGUGCAGCCUGAUGUGUUGCCUGCUUCAGUGUAAAUCUUGCAAGCCAGAUCUGCCAGCUGUCUCCAGUGUAGUAGUCUAGGGUGCUUUGCUUUGUGUCUUUGGCAAUAAAUAAAUUUGUGAGUAUCAUUCUCAUGUGAAUUAUAUAGUUUGAUAAAAUUACAGAAUGUGCUUGUGUAAACUAAAUUUAUAUAUUGGUGGUAAACAAUUCAUGCAUCCCCAAGUAAAUAAAUAAAAUAAAUAGGACCCAAAACAAUAGAUACAAUAGAUCAUCCUCUGGUCAAAAAAAAAAAAAAGCCAGGAUUGGCUGGCCUAUUUUUGGUGAUCAUCCUCUGGUCAAAAAAAAAAAAGCCAGGAUUGGCUG